rnacentral:lncRNA from 1 species
UUUAUUUAUUUGGCAUCCACUUUUCUUUUUUUUUUUUGGUUUCCAGAGAUCUGAAAGUGAACAAAAGGAAAAGAAAAGUAAAGAAAAAGCGUAAUGACAUUCAGUUCCUGUCUGUACCUCCCCCUGAAAGACGUAGGUUUUCUUCUAAACAGUAUGUGAGUGCAAAGCAUAAAUCAGCAGAAACGGGAAGACGUGUGCAUCUCCGGUGGCUGCCUGCGUUCAUUUGCUCCCUUCCAUCUGCAGCAUGAAGCGUGACCUCAAGAAGAAACUCGUACUUUUCUCAUUCAUGUUGUACUUGACUCUUAACGUGCAAUCAACGCAUGAAGUGAAUGGCACAUUGGAAGAAAGCAUCACUGUUAACUUCACUUUUCAAGAUUCUGUUAGAAACUCCAAACCUAGUCUGUACAAAAAUGGGGAAAAGAUAGGAACUUGGAUAGAAAUCAACCUUUGCAAAGAAAAGUUUGCCCUGAGUGAUGUGGAAAACAGGACUGUCACACUACACAUCACAAAUCUCACACUGGAAGAUGAAGGGACAUAUCAUGUCGCAGUGCUUCCAGAUGGUGUUAACUCUCUUUUUGAGAGCAAUACAAUUUAUAUUAAAGUCAAAUUAGGUAAUAAAUCAGCAGAAACUGAAAAAGAAACGGAAGCUGUGCAUGAAAGCAUAGUGACUGAUUCACCUAAACUGGAGUCAUCGGAACAAAAGCCAUUCUUCAUUUUCUUCAGUGCGUUAGUUAUUAUAUGUAUAUGUCUCUUUGUGGGGAUAUUGUGCUGGCUUUUUAGGACCUAUCCAAGAAAACCAGAUGCAGAAAACCCUCCAGUUCACAACAACACAACACAACAGCAGGGGCAGUGUGGGACAUCCGGGGCUGUGUUUGUCAGCUGUGUGGAGUAUGGAGAGUUAGACUUUCAAAACAGACCUGAAAGAGAUGACAAAGUAAAACCUGCCGAGGCGACAUCAAAGGCCCAGGACGGAGUGGAAUAUGCUGCCAUCAUUUUCCCUCAGCAAAAACAGCCACCGAGUGGGCGGAUGAGAAAUAAACAGCAAGUACCUGCCAUUAAGUGAUAGUCAGCCUCAUUAAACCAUAUUGUCCACUAAAGUUAGUCUGUUUUAAUAUAUGCUCAUGUAUACCUAAUAUACUAUUUGGGAGUUUUAUUGAGAGUGAGUUGAAAUCCUAAACCGUUUAAGACUGUUAUAUGAUCAUUAUUAUAUAAUUAUAUGAUCACAAACUGCCACAUAAGUCAUCUUCUCACUGUUAACGAGUUCACAAUGAUACUGUAAACGUGCCACAGAGUUUAACACUGAGUCAUAGAGAGGUGCUAACCACAGAAGCCCCCAUAAAGAAACCUGAGGUACUUGAAUAUGUUUGUACGGUAUUACGUAACCCAGGC